rnacentral:rRNA from 1 species
AUUGAACGCUGGCGGCAGGCCUAACACAUGCAAGUCGAGCGAGCGGCGGACGGGUGAGUAAUGUAUGGGGAUCUGCCCGAUAGAGGGGGAUAACUACUGGAAACGGUGGCUAAUACCGCAUACCAUCAGAUGAACCCAUAUGGGAUUAGCUAGUAGGUGAGGUAACGGCUCACCUAGGCGACGAUCCCUAGCUGGUCUGAGAGGAGGAUCAGCCAAACUGGGACGGAGACACGGCCCAGACUCCUACGGGAGGCAGCAUUGGGGAAUAUUGCACAAUGGGCGCAAGCCGGAUGCAGCCAUGCCGCGGGUAUGAAGAAGGCCUUAGGGUUGUAAAGUACUUUCAGCGGGGAGGCGUUACCCGCAGAAGAAGCACCGGCUAACUCCGUGCCAGCAGCCGCGGUAAUAC